rnacentral:lncRNA from 1 species
UACACUUCACAUGCUCAAGUGAUACUUUAGGCUUGGUCAUCCCAAUUUAUAAUAUCUAAAGACAAUGAAAAUCAAAGAUUUUGUGAUUAGCUUCUUACUUCUCUACUUGAGCUUAUUGCUUUGUAAAGGUUGUAGCUUCAAAAACCAUGCUAAGUUAUCUUAUCCAAUUCAUCAUAUUUUUUGUGUUACUAAAGCUUUUGCACUUAUUGAUAUAAUCUUGUGUAAGCUAAUGCACACUCUUUAUUUUGGAAGAGCCAUUAUUUUUUUAAAAAAUAUUUAUCAAUGAUCAUUCUUGCUUUACUUAUAUUUAUUUCUUAAUAAAAAAAAUUAUUUUUCUUUUCAUUCUUCACCAAUCAUAAGACCUUGAUAAAAAAAUUAACUUAAUAAAAAUAUUUUGAUAUUUUGGUCUAGUAGAAGAAACAAGUUUAUUUUCUAUAAGAUUCAAUAAUUUUGUGCAUAUAAUGGAAUUCAACCUCAAGUCACUAAUCUUUAUAAUCCAAUUAAAAAUAGAAUCAUAGAAUAUAAAAUUUACAUCUUAGUUGAAGCCGCUUACAAAUGAGCAAGACAACUCACUUCUCUAAUAUGUAUUGAAUUAAAGUGCUUUACUUAGCAUAUUACUUAUAAAAUUCUAGUUAUACUUCACCAUCAGAAUAUAUUAUCUUGUUUGAAUUCUAAAUAGAAAUAAAGCCAAAUUUCGAUUACCUACAUAUUUUUGAUUGCCUAGCUUACUCUUAUUUACUAACUAUGAAGAAAAAAUAAUUAGAUAUCAAAACUACUAAGUGUAAAAGAUAGUCAUAUUCGCUAAUAUAAUUAUUUAGAUAAAUUAAACUAGAUAGAAGUGAGUAGAAAUAGGUUAAAUUUUUGAUAUAUUGUUAAUAAGCUCCUUAUGAGUUUUGUAGACUUUACAUGUGUUUAUAAAUGCUCACUAGAUUGACAACUUGGCCAACAAGUUGGCUACAUGUUGUACAUUUAACAACUUUUAUUAUUAGUUGGCCAUUUGGCUCACAUGUUGAAAACUUACCAUAUAAAUUAGACAUAUGUUCUGCAAGUUGA